GCGCCCGUAGCUCAGCCGGAUAGAGUACUUGGCUACGAACCAAGGGGUCGGGAGUUCGAAUCUCUCCGGGUGCGCCA
rnacentral:tRNA from 1 species